GUCUUUUAGAAAAUUUAUUUAAAGUCUAGCCUGCCCAUUGAAUUAUUUAAAAGGCUGCGGUAUUUUGACCGUACAAAGGUAGCAUAGUCAUUAGUUUUUUAAUUGAGAACUUGUAUGAAUGGUUGAAUGAAAAAUUAACUUUUUUAUUUAAAAUAUUGAAUUUUACUUUUUAAUAAAAAGGUUAAAAUUAAUUUAAAAGACGAGAAGACCCUAUAGAGUUUAAUAUUUUAUUUGGUGUUUUUAAAUAAGAUUAUUUAUAAUUUAAUUAAAUAUAAUAUUUUAUUGGGGUGAUAGUAUAAUUUAUAAAACUUAUAUUUAUUUAUACAUUAAUAUAUGAAUUAUUGAUCCAAUUUUAUUGAUUAAAAAAUUAAAUUACCUUAGGGAUAACAGCGUAAUUUUUUUUUAAGUUCAUAUUAAUAAAAAAUUUUGCGACCUCGAUGUUGGAUUAAGAUUUAAUUUUAGGUGCAGAAGUUUAAAAUUUAAGUCUGUUCGACUUUUAAAUUCUU
rnacentral:rRNA from 1 species